UACGUAGGGGGCAAGCGUUGUCCGGAUUUAUUGGGCGUAAAGAGCGUGUAGGCGGUUGGGUAGGUCCGUUGUGAAAACUCGAGGCUCAACCUCGAGACGCCGAUGGAAACCCCCUGACUAGAGUCCGGAAGAGGAGAGUGGAAUUCCUGGUGUAGCGGUGAAAUGCGCAGAUAUCAGGAAGAACACCGGUGGCGAAGGCGGUUCUCUGGGCAUUACCUGACGCUGAGGAGCGAAAGUGUGGGGAGCGAACAGG
rnacentral:rRNA from 1 species